CUGGGCCCUUAGGUGACUUUGAUGAGUCAACCUCUAUUCUGAACUUCGAGGAGGUACUUGUGGCUCUGGUUGAGGUAGUGACUAUGGAGCUGCAGUCAAAGCAAGAUUCUGUGGAGGUGACACUAUGGAAGGCACAGGCGGCACCACUAGGGAAACUAUAUGAUGCACCGCUAUACGGGAUGCAGGGAUGGUCUGGGGAGGUGGGGCACCACUUGAAAGGGCACGAGAAAGGUCUGGACUGCUUGGAUUGCGAUCAUCAGAUGU
rnacentral:lncRNA from 1 species